AGUAACAUCACCUGUUUAAGUAGACCCUAAUUACGAUACUUUUUUGUUGUUGUUGUUUCACAAAAACAACAGACAGUCUUUGUUCCUUCAAGACAAAACGGUGUAUUGUAUUGUCAUCGGGUGGUUUAUGGUUACCCGACCCUACCGCAGGGCUUUGUCUCGUUAAGUCAACCCUAAUCGGACAUAAUGUCUUUCAUUUGUCUCAUUGAAGGGGGAGGGGAGUGAAAGUAUAGAGGAAGAGAGGGGGAUUUAACAUUCACGAAAAAGGCGACACCAACAGAGAAUGCACGAUGGAUAAAAACGACAGAGGUGAGGAAGAGGAGGAAGAACAGAGGCUGGAGAGGGGGGAGGCAGGUCGUUUGUAUAGCUUGUGCCCCACUGGGAAGAAGUUCCGGAGCAAGCCUCAAUUGGCUCGUUACCUUGGCAACUCCAUGGAUUUCAGUUCCUUUGAUUUCCGCACAGGAAAGAUGCUCAUGAGCAAGCUGAACAAAAACAGACAGAGACCCCGAUAUGACAACAAUAACCAGACUAAGGGCAAACCCGACCUAAACACAGCCCUCCCAGUGCGACAGACUGCCUCCAUCUUCAAACAGCCUGUCACAAAAGUUACCAACCACCCCAGCAAUAAGGUCAAGACUGACCCACAGAAGGCUAUUGACCAACCCAGGCAGCUUUUUUGGGAGAAGAAGUUGAGUGGCCUCAAUGCCUUUGACAUAGCAGAGGAGCUGGUGAAAACAAUGGAUCUACCUAAAGGCUUACAAGGAGUUGGCCCAGGGUGCACAGAUAAGACCCUGUUGUCAGCCAUUGCCAGUGCACUACACACCAGUGCAGCUCCUAUCACAGGCCAGCUGUCUGCUGCUGUGGAGAAGAACCCGGGAGUUUGGCUUAACACGGCUCAACCUCUCUGUAAGGCCUUCAUUGUCACAGACGAGGAUAUUAGUAUCAUCUUUUUCUGGACCGUCACAGAAAGCAGGAAGAGCUUGUGUACAGCGUUCGGAAGCGACUGGAGGAGGCUCUGAUGGCUGACAUGUUAGCUCACAUGGAGGAAACGUCCAAUGAGGGAGACGCUGUCAAGGAGGAGGGAAAUUGUAAUGAUGACAAGCAGGAAGUAUAGCAAUGGGCAUUCGAAUGUGUCUGAAUUACCUGCAGAUUUCCCAACACAGUCACACUACAGCCAGACGCUCUGCUGAUCAGCAAACCACAUUACCAUGAAACAUCUCCCAGCCUUACUGAAUAUCCAUUUGCGGCCACAAGUUGGGAUCUCACAAAGACUGUUGCUCGGUUUUCAGGCUUAACGCUUUUUCUGUUUUGUAAUAAUUUGUUUUCGAAAAGUUCAGUAUUUUCUAAAAAACCGAAAUGUUGAAAAAAUUUAGCAUUUGGUGAACUAUCCCUCUAAAGGAAAGAUUGUGCAUUGAGUAAUAUUGCAAAGGUGUUUUCAAAGGAAGGUUUAUUUGGAUUUGAUAUGGAAAAUGACAAUCAAUUCAAAAAUACAAUCCUCGAGUUUUAGUGGGCGCUAAAAAUACAUACACAGCUGACAAAAAAAAUCUGUGGAUGCAUGCCCAUGUCUGUGAUUGAAAUAGAUUUGUAAGUAAAGGGGUAAGAGAGGGGCCAAACGAGUGCAUCCAAAGUAGUGGAUAUGUUUUAAGCUUCAUUGAAUAGAUACCAGUGUUUUUUGAUAAAUGCAUUGACUUCUAUCCCUGUUAGUAUUAUUUUCAUAAUAUCGUACCCUCAAAUUCAGUAUUAUUCAGUUAAAUAGGUUCAUAUUGGUUCAAAUUCAGUUCUAAAGUUUUGGUAUUAUCCACAAUGCCACACGUUUUAUAAUGUUGUGUCGAGGGAUGUGAGGCAUUGAUAAAGAUAUUCAUAGUUAUAAGGGUUCUAAUAGUGCAGAAAUGGCCGAACCCAACUCGGUUUCUUUGGAAUUCCAUGUUUUCAGCUCAUCUGGUGCUUGUUAAAAUUGCCUGUUUUUUAUAAGCUAUUCAUACUUGACACUAAAUAACAUUUCCAUAGGAAAAAAAAAAAUCUGAAUUUGAUAUUGAAAUGUGAAUGGUGAUUCAUACAGUCUGAUUCAUACAAUGUGAUGUGUAAACAUCAUCCUGUGAGGCAGCAAUCGAAACAAACACAUUGCCAGGUGGAAAGUGUUUUGUAAAAGAUCUAUUCCAUGUUUUGUUCAUUGCUCACAUCAACAUACUGACUGCCAUGUUUACUUGUGCAUUUCUCAAAAUAAAAUGUUCCUGUGUGUUGAA